GCUGUGAUGGCCGAUGGUUAAGGCGUUGACUUGAAACUAAUGGUUUCACAGGUUCGAACCCUGCCCUCAGCA